UAAAAAAAAAAAAAAACGAACCCUAAAAACAAACCCUAAGAUAUGAUUUCUUCAUGGAGAUCGAGAGAAAAUAAAACCUAAAAAAGUUCUUCUUCCUUCUUCUCCUUUAUUCACCCAAAAAAAAAUCUUUCUCCAUGUCUCUUUUCUUCUCCGUCCUUUCUUCUUCUUGAUUGUCUCUGUUUUUUUUAAUACUAUUGAUUUAUUUUUGUUUUUCUGUCGCAGGUGAUAUACUUUGAUGGGAAUCUGUAAAAGGGGUGUAAUUAGGUACGAAAAAAUUAUGGUAGCAUAGAAGGGAAACUCACAACAUAAACACAGAUAUAAGACAAUUGCGUCAUUGGGCUAUGGAGGAGAAAGGCAAUUACGUAACCAUUUCCGGUGGUGGUCGGCAUAAUGCCACAAUAAAAGCUUGCUUGGCUUCUCGAUGCGGAUUUGUGCAAAAGCUUGAACUUUAUAAAAGAUGAUCCAUGAUUGGGAGGAAUUUUCGAUCUGUGGCACUCACAAUUUGUUCCAGCACAAAAAUUGUAACUAGCAUUCCUUCCCGGUCUUCAUGGUUAACGCAAGCCAACAGUGGUUCAGAUGGACGAUAUGUCGAGGGGUAGAUCCAGAUGACAAAUCACAUGUUGAGGGAACCGAAACUCACACGGUGGUUCCUAAAAAGCACUGUUUGGAAGUUCAAAUCACUGCUCUGCGGGGUUAGAGAUUCUGCGGAUUACCUGUGUAAAGGUGAAUCAAAAAAACACCUAUGGAAAAAUCAAAGGGUUGCAUAUUUUUAGUUGAUGCAAUCAAGUGUGAUUUUGGGGUUAAUGGAUUUAACUCUUACAGCAACACAUACUUUAAUGCUUGAUCCAGGGUAUAACCUUCUCUCUUACAACAAUCAAGAUGUAUUCAUCUUGAUUGUACAGAGAUGAAGGUGAACUGUCAAAUGGAAAGUUACAAAUGACAGGCAUAUCCCUGCAACAUACAAUGAACCAAUGCAUAAGUUCCCUCCAUGUAGAGUGCACGGUGUUGUUAAGGCAAUUGAAGGUCAAGGGACAACUAUUGACGUCGUAUUAGUAAAUGGUAUGCCUCAUGAGGGACAUCAGAUUGUGGUACACAGGUAGGUGAUCCAAUAAGAAAAUGUAUAUUAUAUGGAAACACAUGUCCAGCAGGGACAAUGAGUUUAUUUCGACAAGAAUAUGGUAUUUGCCUUCCUCGAGCUGCAAGUAUUAAGUUUACUCUUCUCUGAGAAAUUUGAUAGAACUAACUUCAUAUUGAAGCUUUAGAUAGUUGACUUUUCUAAUAUUUCGCUAAAAUAUUUGCAUCUUAUGUUAUAUGAUUUGAGAUGGGUAAUCCCUGGAAAGCAUGCUAAAUGAGCAUGUUCUGUGAUUACUUUCUGACUUUCUGUGUUUCAGUAAUUUGUAUUACAUGAAAUGUUGUGAUGUAUAUACAGUCUUAGCAUCUUCGAGGCACAAUAACUUCAAAAGUGAUUGAGGAAAAAGGAUGGAUGGAGAGAGUUGGUAUCUGCUAAAAUUCUCUUCUUAAUUAAAAUUCUUAUGUAUACUUUUUUGAGGUAAUUUUGCAUUUCAUAAUUCAUAUGCUUUCCUCUUUUCCAUGUUCUCACGAUCUCAUUCAAGCAAUAACAUAUAAAGGCUUUAGUGUGGUGGUUAUUUGUCGCCUGGAUCCGUUGUGGUGCUAUUUAUUUUUUGUACCUUUAUUAGCUGCUGGGGUGGUUGAUGAUGGCGUCCAAUUAUGACAGGAACAAAAUGGAGUUUACUAUUGCAAUGGGAUUCAGGUAUUUCCCAUAUAACCAGGCAUUGGGUGGUCAUAGAUCAAUCUACAGUAGUGAUAAAAUCAAUCAGAAGAAACAUAGAAGUUGUUGCAGGUGGAUUAAUAAGCUGAAGAGUAAGAGGAUGAGGAUGAGAACCACAAUUUUUAAGAGCAGCAUCAAAGUGAACCUAUGAAAUUCAGAGAUCAGGUUAAGAAAGUAAGAUCCAUUAUAAUUCAAAAAUCUAAGUUGCACAAACACAUCGAUUUAGCAUUUGCAGGAAGAAACUUCCAACAGGUCAAGCACCUGGAGGACAUGUAAGACACAUCACAAUGGAUUUAGCAUUAACAUUAGUGGUGGACAGCACUCUUCGUCCUCCAUCAAUUAGCUCGUCACUACUAAUAGUUGUACAACUGCUAAUACAGGAGGUGGUCAUCAAGUGGUGCUUGAUUUCGAUCUAAAUAAACCGCCGGUGAUGGAAGAGUAAGAAAGUAAUAGAUCUAAUUGUGAACAGUGGGGUUAUAUAUUAAGUUUAAUUCAAAAAUGCAAUUACAUGUGUCGUAGUCCUGAUAACUUUAAUGUAUGUGUUGUCAUUUAUGCCAUUUUUAUGUUCGGAGCCACAUAUAGCGUGGAUAUAAUAUUUGUAAUUUUUAUGUGAUACUUUGUUUAUACAUAAAUGUGAGCCACACCAAAUCAAAAAUUCA